rnacentral:rRNA from 1 species
ACGGUACAACGAGUCGCAAGACCGCGAGGUUUAGCAAAUCUCUUAAAGCCGUUCUCAGUUCGGAUUGUAGGCUGCAACUCGCCUACAUGAAGUCGGAAUCGCUAGUAAUCGCGGAUCAGCAUGCCGCGGUGAAUACGUUCCCGGGCCUUGUACACACCGCCCGUCACACCAUGAGAGUUUGUAACACCCAAAGCCGGUGGGUAACCUUUUGGAGCCAGCCGUCUAAGGUGGGACAGAUGAUUGGGGUGAAGUCGUAACAAGGUAAC